GGGCGUAAAGAGCUCGUAGGUGGUUCGUUACGUCGGAUGUGAAAAUCUGGGGCUCAACCCCAGACCUGCAUUCGAUACGGGCGAUCUAGAGUGUGGUAGGGGAGACUGGAAUUCCUGGUGUAGCGGUGGAAUGCGCAGAUAUCAGGAGGAACACCAAUGGCGAAGGCAGGUCUCUGGGCCAUUACUGACACUGAGGAGCGAAAGCGUGGGGAGCGAACAGGAUUAGAUACCCUGGUAGUCCACGCCGUAAACGGUGGGCACUAGUUGUGGGAACCUUCCACGGUUUCUGCGACGCAGCUAACGCAUUAAGUGCCCCGCCUGGGGAGUACGAUCGCAAGAUUAAAACUCAAAGGAAUUGACGGGGCCCCGCACAAGCAGCGGAGCAUGCGGCUUAAUUCGACGCAACGCGAAGAACCUUACCAAGGCUUGACAUAUACCGGAAUAUGGCAGAGAUGUCAUAGCUGUAAAAGGUCGGUAUACAGGUGGUGCAUGGUUGUCGUCAGCUCGUGUCGUGAGAUGUUGGGUUAAGUCCCGCAACGAGCGCAACCCUCGUUCUGUGUUGCCAGCAUUUAGUUGGGGACUCACAGGAGACUGCCGGGGUCAACUCGGAGGAAGGUAAU
rnacentral:rRNA from 1 species